GUCUUGGUGGCUCAGUUGGCUAGAGCGUUGGUCUCAUAUUUACUAUGAUUCAACCACAGGUUGGGCUAUCCAAAGGUCGUGAGUUCGAGCCUCACCCAGGACA
rnacentral:tRNA from 1 species